rnacentral:rRNA from 1 species
AGUGGCGGACGGGUGAGUAACGCGUGGGUAACCUGCCUCAUACAGGGGGAUAACAGUUAGAAAUGACUGCUAAUACCGCAUAAGACCACAGCACCGCAUGGUGCAGGGGUAAAAACUCCGGUGGUAUGAGAUGGACCCGCGUCUGAUUAGGUAGUUGGUGGGGUAACGGCCUACCAAGCCGACGAUCAGUAGCCGACCUGAGAGGGUGACCGGCCACACUGGAACUGAGACACGGUCCAA